GUUUGUACAGACAGCAAACUGGUAAUGGGACUUCAGCAAGAGUCAGUGAAAGACUGAUGGGAAUUUUUUAAGAAACCUUUUAUUUUACAGGGAAAGCAUGCUUGGGUAUUUCUUUCAGCACAAAACUGGAAACUGCUAGAACUGUACAUGGCAUUACGGAACACGCUUCAGGCUCCUCAAUCAACAGAACAGUCAAAGCGAAGAGUGUAAAAGCAGAGAGAUGGCCACGAUUUUGGUAAAGUUGCAACAGGUAGGCUUAUAAUGCAGAACUAACAUGCUUAGGAGGGUUAAACUGUUUGGAUCAAAUUCUCUCUUUAUCUAAGCCUUACUCAUGCACAGGGAAAUGAUCCACUGAAAUCCAGUCACAAUACUUCACUCUAAAACAUACGGCCUUUCCAAAGUUAGAUCUGUAGACACCUUUAAGAGCCUCUUAACACUGCAGAUGCAGCAUAGUAGGGCUCUAGGCAUUAUAGGGCUGCCAAUGUGGAAAAUAUGUGCUCAGAUACAGAAGCCAACUGGUGUUGGAUCAAGUCCUGCGGGACUUCCAUACGCUAAGGCACAGAUAGCAUCCUCCAUUGUCUCCAGCCACUAUGAUUCUUGACAUUUGUUAUAUGACACUGAAAAUAUGUCUAACUGGCACAGUGAAAUGCUGGAGGUGUCAGCAUGAUUACUCAUUUUGGUAUCUCUCCAACAGCUAGAGCUAUGGAAGGUGCUGUGCCCUGCAGACAUAAUCAUAAAGGAGUUAAGACAACCAGAGCAAUUAGGCUUCAGGGUUUUUAUAAGAAUAAGAAUCCUUUCUCAGCAUUGUUGUAUGAAUGUAAAAAACUCAACAAUCAAAAGGGACUGUAAUGCCCUCUAGUCUGAUCUUGUGGGUAGCAUACACACAACACUUACAUGAUAGCUCCUGUGUCAGUUUGUGUUUGCUCAGUAAGCUUGCAACAGAAGGCUGAUUUAAAACGUUCAAGAUUUGGAGAAACAUCAUGCCCUUAAACAUCUCUCUCCACUAAUUAAAUAUGCUCAUUGAAUUUAAAACAGAUUUUUCUAGCCUUACUUUGCCAGGCUUCAGCUUCCAUCUUCUACUACAGGAUUUCACUGUAUGUUCUUCUGUCAUAAAGCUCCUUCUCAUGUAGGAACU
ensembl:lncRNA